UUAGCAUGGAAUAAUAAAAUAGGACGUGCGGUUCUAUUUUGUUGGUUUCUAGAGUCGCCGUAAUGAUUAAUAGGGAUAGUUGGGGGCAUUAGUAUUCAGUUGCUAGAGGUGAAAUUCUUGGAUUUACUGAAGACUAACUACUGCGAAAGCAUUUGCCAAGGAUGUUUUCAUUAAUCAAGAACGAAGGUUAGGGGAUCGAAAACGAUCAGAUACCGUUGUAGUCUUAACAGUAAACUAUGCCGACUAGGGAUCGGGCGAUCUCACUUUUAUGUGUCGCUCGGCACCUUACGAGAAAUCAAAGUCUUUGGGUUCUGGGAGGAGUAUGGUCGCAAGGCUGAAACUUAAAGGAAUUGACGGAAGGGCACCACCAGGAGUGGAGCCUGCGGCUUAAUUUGACUCAACACGGGGAAACUCACCAGGUCCAGACAUAACUAGGAUUGACAGAUUGGUAGCUCUUUCUUGAUUUUAUGGGUGGUGGUGCAUGGCCGUUCUUAGUUGGUGGAGUGAUUUGUCUGGUUAAUUCCGAUAACGAACGAGACCUUAACCUGCUAAAUAGUCCGGCCGGCUUUUGCUGGUCGCAGACUUCUUAGAGGGACUGUCAGCGUCUAGCUGACGGAAGUUUGAGGCAAUAACAGGUCUGUGAUGCCCUUAGAUGUUCUGGGCCGCACGCGCGCUACACUGACAGAGCCAGCGAGUUCUCACCUUGGCCGGAAGGUCUGGGUAAUCUUGUGAAACUUUGUCGCGCUGGGGAUAGAGCAUUGCAAU
rnacentral:rRNA from 1 species